UUUUUAUUGUAAACAGAAGUUCAUAACUAGUUAUUACAAACUGAAUCAACUGAAACACAAGUUAGCAAUGUGAAACACAUUUAUAGGCUUAUUUUGGUAUGGCAUAAUUGGUAAUUUUUGCCCCCUCAAUACUUUUAAGAAGACUGCUAAAAUUUUCAGCAUUUCAAUGAUCUCUUCUUUGUCAAGUUUAGCUCCAUGACAUUCUCAUUACCUUAAAAAAAAACUCAUUCAAAUAUAGGUAGAACUUCUACCUUUCAUCAUCAAAACUAUCACACAAAAUUUAUUUUUUCACAAUGCAAAAAGAAGAUAAAUGUAUAUUUUAAAACAUUAUCAGCAGACCCUGUUUUAUGUUGUUUUUACAUUUUUUCCGUCUGCCCAUUAUUCUCUAAGAAAUCUUGCACUAAUUUCAUUUGCCCUCCUUGUCAUUGCAGACCGCCUCUAGAAUAUUGUGGUAAUUGAAACUAGCAUGUACCUGCGCCCCCUCCCAGGGUCCUAUCUUUGUCACUCACCUCCCCCAUGGCUACUGCUUGUCCUAUCUGUGCUCAGUGCAGGGAUGAGUGUACAGCUGGAAGAGGCGAAGUCAGCAUUUCAGUUUACAGAAAAAUACCAUCUGGUGGACAGAAUGAGUUGUUGAAGAUUUCCUGUGAACAAAAAUAAGCCGGCUGGGCACGGUGGCUCAUACCUGUAAUCCCAGCACUUUGGGAGGCCAAGGUGGGUGGAUCAAGAGGUCAAGAGAUCGAGACCAUUCUGGCCAACAUGGUGAAACCCCAUCUCUACUAAAAAUACAAAAAUUAGCCAGGCGUUGUGGCACAUGCCUGUAGUCCCAGGUACUCGGGAGGCUGAGGCAGGAGAAUCGCUUGAACCCGGGAGGCAGAGGUUGCAGGGAGCCAAGAUUAUAGCACUCCAGCCUGGCAACAGAGCGAGACUCUGUCUCAAAAAAAAAAAAAAUAAAUAAAUAAUAAAAAAGCCAUAAGUAAAAUUGAGAGUUUGCCCCUGUUCUGCUUUCUAAUAGAUUUUCCAAGUCUACAUUUCAGAGAAACAGCCAGGACUACUGUAAAGUAUCCUAAAACGCUAUGCCUGUUAACCAUCAUUUGUAUAAAAACAUCAAAAUAGCCUCUCAUGUCAAAAGCACUUCAUGGAGAUGUAUCAAAAACACAAGUAUUUCCCAAAAAAGAGUAAAAAUAGAUUAUUUCAUGAAUUACAUUUAAUAAAUAAUAUUUUGUAAUAUAGCGUUUUCUGGGUUUUAUAAAAAUAUUUACUUAAACUUUUAAAAGAAAUCUAAAUAGAGCAGACAAGUAAUGAAUAUGCAAUUUAUAGACCAUCUGAAUGAAAAUUUCGGCAACUUUUUUGUUAAUUCAGAUAUUAAAUGAUAUUGAAUAUAUUCAAAUGAGUUCAAAUAUCACUGCAACACUCAAGAGGUUAUAAAUCUCAUUCUUUUCAUUUAAAAACUGCACUCAAUGUUAGGUAGUAAGUCAAUCCAAUUUCAGUACAAUUUAAUGACUUCAUAAUCUCUAAGGUAUUUGAUUUUUCUACCAGAGAGAAAUGUGACAAUAUUGAAUACAAAUUGUUUUUUGUAUUGGUUUUCUUAUGUACACAAUUCAAAGUGACCCUGAUAGAAUGCUGUUACACUUGACCGCAGGGUUGUGCCCAUGCCACAUCUCUACUGCCUAUUUUACAGUAAACUCCUUUGGGGGCCCUGUCCCUGAUCCUGUGGGAGUCUUAAUAAUACCAGAGAGUUCUUUUCCAAUCAAAUAUAUUAAAAAUCAACUAGCUUGAGGGUUAUAAAUAAUUACAAUGAGAUAGUAAUAUUAGGAGCAGAGAUAAGUUAUUAUCCUUAUCUAAAAAUUAUGUGUAUUAUUUCCUGCAUUAGCACUCUUUAAUCCAGUGCUUCUGGACUUAUUUUCAAGGCAUGGUGUACUUACCAGGCCAUGCCUGGCCCAAAUAACUUGUUUGGGUCUAUGGCCUCCCCACUUUCCACUGUGUUGCCCCGAGUGCUGAGGGUAUAAACAUCUUGGCAACUCUGUUAUGUAUUGUUAACUCCA
ensembl:lncRNA